UGACGGCGAGGGAUCAGACGCUGCAGGGGAAGCCAUGGUUGCUCAACGCCCAAUUUCUAAUAUCCUCAUUAUCAUCGCUAUGCAAACGGAAGCGACGCCUGUGGUGAACAAGUUCCAGCUCGUGGAGGAACCAGAGUCUUCGUUUCCAAAAGGGGUUCCUUGGGUUUGGUAUCAUGGUAUUUACAAAGAUCUCCAUAUCAAUUUGGUAUGGCCAGGAAAAGAUUCAAAUCUGGAGGUUGAUAGUGUAGGCACAGUUUCUGCAUCACUUGUGACAUAUGCUGCUAUCCGAGCAUUACAGCCAGACUUAAUCAUCAACGCAGGCACUGCUGGUGGCUUUAAGGCAAAAGGAGCAUCUAUUGGUGAUGUAUACCUCGUAAGUGAUGUUACUUUCCAUGACAGAAGAAUCCCUAUCCCUGUUUUUGAUCUCUAUGGUAUUGGUUUGCGGCAUGCUUACCCAACACCCAAUCUCCUGAAGGACCUUAACCUAAAGGUUGGCAAGUUGUCUACUGGAGACUCUUUGGA
rnacentral:misc_RNA from 1 species